CCCGACAUAGCUCAGUUGGAAGAGCAUGAGACUGUAAUGGAACAAAAUCGACAUCAUCUCUUUGUGAGAAGGUGUCUGCCCUCAUCUCAGGGUCGCUGGUUCGAACCCGGCUGUUGGGA
rfam:Melampsora larici-populina 98AG31 unplaced genomic scaffold MELLAscaffold_27, whole genome shotgun sequence.